GAAGUAUUAAAAAUUGGUGUAUAAUUCAUUUUAAUUCAAUACGUCCUACACUACAGUCUACAGACUACAGUAUAUUUCUACACAUACCAGGGCUGACAUGAAAAAUAGAGGCAUUCGGGCGAGUAAUAUCUUUAGAAAGAUACAAUUUGAGUUGCGCUUGCGGAAUGCAGCAAUAAGACUUUGAUCUGGAGACGAAUUUGGUGUUUUUUAAGCCUAUUUUUCAAAAAUAAUGAAUAAUGAAAAAUUUUCGUGCGGCAGAUAAAUCCCAUGCGGGCGGGGACGAGAAACAUGAUAUCAAUUUUCAUUGGCCUUAUUUUUA
rnacentral:lncRNA from 1 species